rnacentral:rRNA from 1 species
GACUCUUAGUGGUGGAUCACUCGGUUCAUGUGUUGAUGCAGAAUGCAGCUAGCCACAAGAAUGAAUGUGAAUUGCAAAAUAUACAAUCUCUCUAAGCUUUAGCAUUCACCUGUCAAACUGGCA